rnacentral:rRNA from 1 species
UACGGAGGAUGCGAGCGUUAUCCGGAAUUACUGGGUUUAAAGGGUGCGUAGGCGGCGCUGUAAGUCAGGAGUGAAAGUUUGCGGCUCAACCGUAGAAUUGCUUUUGAUACUGCGGUGCUGGAAUUAGGAUGAGGUCAGCGGAAUGUGGCAUGUAGCGGUGAAAUGCAUAGAUAUGCCAUAGAACACCAAUUGCGAAGGCAGCUGGCUAGACCUGGAUUGACGCUGAGGCACGAAAGCGUGGGGAGCGAACAGG